rnacentral:rRNA from 1 species
AUUGAACGCUGGCGGCAUGCUUCACCCAUGCCCGUCUCCCUUCCUCCUUGUCUCGCUUUCUCUACUGCUGGCGAGUGGCGACCGGGUGAGUAACGCGUCGGCAUCUACCUUAGAGAGGGGGAUAACAUGGGGAAACUCAUGCUCAUACCGCAUACGUUCUAUGGAAUAAAGCUGGGGACCUUAUGGCCUGGCGCUUUAAGAAUAGCCUGCGUCCGAUUAGCUAGUUGGUAGGGUAAAGGCCUACCAAGGCGACGAUCGGUAGCUGGUCUGAGAGGAUGAUCAGCCACACUGGGACUGGGACACGGCCCAGACUCCUACGGGAGGCAGCAGUGGGGAAUAUUGGACAAUGGGGGGAACCCUGAUCCAGCAAUGCCGCGUGUGUGAAGAAGGCCUGAGGGUUGUAAAGCACUUUCAGUGGGGAGGAGGAUUGACGGGUUAAGAGCUAGUUAAUUGGACGUUACCCACAGAAGAAGCACCGGCUAACUCCGUGCCAGCCGCCGCCGUAA